rnacentral:rRNA from 1 species
GACGAACGCUGGCGGCGUGCUUAACACAUGCCAGUCGAACGGUGAUGCUCCAGCUUGCUAGAGUGGAUCAGUGGCGAACGGGUGAGUAACACGUGAGCAACCUGCCCCAGACUCUGGAAUAAGCGCUGGAAACGGCGUCUAAUACUGGAUACGAAACUGGCCCGCAUGGGCAUGGUUUGGAAAGUUUUUCGGUUUGGGAUGGGCUCGCGGCCUAUCAGCUUGUUGGUGAGGUAAUGGCUCACCAAGGCGACGACGGGUAGCCGGCCUGAGAGGGCGACCGGCCACACUGGGACUGAGACACGGCCCAGACUCCUACGGGAGGCAGCAGUGGGGAAGAUUGCACAAUGGGCGAAAGCCUGAUGCAGCGACGCCGCGUGAGGGAUGACGGCCUUCGGGUUGGAAACCUCUUUCAGCAGGGAAGAAGCGAAAGUGACGGUACCUGCAGAAGAAGCACCGGCUAACUACGUGC